GAGUUUGAUCAUGGCUCAGAUUGAACGCUGGCGGCAUGCCUUACACAUGCAAGUCGAACGGCAGCACGGGGGCAACCCUGGUGGCGAGUGGCGAACGGGUGAGUAAUACAUCGGAACGUGUCCUGUAGUGGGGGAUAGCCCGGCGAAAGCCGGAUUAAUACCGCGUACGAUCUACGGAAGAAAGCGGGGGAUCGCAAGACCUCGCGCUAUAGGGGCGGCCGAUGGCAGAUUAGCUAGUUGGUGGGGUAAAGGCCUACCAAGGCGACGAUCUGUAGCUGGUCUGAGAGGACGACCAGCCACACUGGGACUGAGACACGGCCCAGACUCCUACGGGAGGCAGCAGUGGGGAAUUUUGGACAAUGGGGGAAACCCUGAUCCAGCAAUGCCGCGUGUGUGAAGAAGGCCUUCGGGUUGUAAAGCACUUUUGUCCGGAAAGAAAACCUUUGGGCUAAUACCCUGAGGGGAUGACGGUACCGGAAGAAUAAGCACCGGCUAACUACGUGCCAGCAGCCGCGGUAAUACG
rnacentral:rRNA from 1 species